rnacentral:rRNA from 1 species
GAUGAACGCUGGCGGCGUGCCUAAUACAUGCAGGUCGAGCGAACAGACGAGGAGCUUGCUCCUCUGACGUUAGCGGCGGACGGGUGAGUAACACGUGGAUAACCUACCUAUAAGACUGGGAUAACUUCGGGAAACCGGAGCUAAUACCGGAUAAUAUAUUGAACCGCAUGGUUCAAUAGUGAAAGACGGUUUUGCUGUCACUUAUAGAUGGAUCCGCGCCGCAUUAGCUAGUUGGUAAGGUAACGGCUUACCAAGGCGACGAUGCGUAGCCGACCUGAGAGGGUGAUCGGCCACACUGGAACUGAGACACGGUCCAGACUCCUACGGGAGGCAGCAGUAGGGAAUCUUCCGCAAUGGGCGAAAGCCUGACGGAGCAACGCCGCGUGAGUGAUGAAGGUCUUCGGAUCGUAAAACUCUGUUAUUAGGGAAGAACAAAUGUGUAAGUAACUAUGCACGUCUUGACGGUACCUAAUCAGAAAGCCACGGCUAACUACGUG